rnacentral:rRNA from 1 species
GUCGUGAGAUGUUGGGUUAAGUCCCGUAACGAGCGCAACCCUUGUCCUUAGUUACCAGCACGUUAUGGUGGGCACUCUAAGGAGACUGCCGGUGACAAACCGGAGGAAGGUGGGGAUGACGUCAAGUCAUCAUGGCCCUUACGGCCUGGGCUACACACGUGCUACAAUGGUCGGUACAAAGGGUUGCCAAGCCGCGAGGUGGAGCUAAUCCCAUAAAACCGAUCGUAGUCCGGAUCGCAGUCUGCAACUCGACUGCGUGAAGUCGGAAUCGCUAGUAAUCGUGAAUCAGAAUGUCACGGUGAAUACGUUCCCGGGCCUU